rnacentral:rRNA from 1 species
UACGGAGGGUGCAAGCGUUAUCCGGAUUCACUGGGUUUAAAGGGUGCGUAGGCGGGCAGGUAAGUCCGUGGUGAGAUCUCUGAGCUUAACUCAGAAGCUGCCAUGGAUACUAUUUGUCUUGAAUAUUGUGGAGGUAAGCGGAAUAUGUCAUGUAGCGGUGAAAUGCUUAGAUAUGACAUAGAACACCAAUUGCGAAGGCAGCUUACUACACAGUUAUUGACGCUGAGGCACGAAAGCGUGGGGAUCAAACAGG